rnacentral:rRNA from 1 species
UACAGGGGGGGCAAGCGUUGUUCGGAAUUACUGGGCGUAAAGGGCUCGUAGGCGGCCCACUAAGUCCGACGUGAAAUCCCCAGGCUUAACUUGGGAACUGCGUCGGAUACUGGUGGGCUUGAAUCCGGGAGAGGGAUGCGGAAUUCCAGGUGUAGCGGUGAAAUGCGUAGAUAUCUGGAGGAACACCGGUGGCGAAGGCGGCAUCCUGGACCGGCAUUGACGCUGAGUGAGCGAAAGCCAGGGGAGCAAACGGG